rnacentral:rRNA from 1 species
GUAUCUUAAGCACGCAUGAGAUUAAGAUUAAAGAUUUAUCGGUAAGCGAUGGGGAUGCGUUCCAUUAGGCAGUUGGCGGGGUAACGGCCCACCAAACCUACGAGGGAUGGGGGUUCUGAGAGGAAGGUCCCCCACAUUGGAACUGAGACACGGUCCAAACUCCUACGGGAGGCAGCAGUGAGGAAUAUUGGUCAAUGGGCGAGAGCCUGAACCAGCCAAGUACCGUGAAGGAUGACGGCCCUACGGGUUGUAAACUUCUUUUGUGCGGGAAUAAAGGAGCCUACGUGUAUUUUUUUUGCUUGUACCGUAACGAAUAAGCAUCGGCUAACUCCGUGCCAGCAGCCGCGGCUAAUACGGAGGAUGCGAGUGUUACCCGGAUUUAUUGGGUUUAAAGGGAGCGUAGACGGGUUUUUAAGUCAGCUGUGAAAGUUUGGGGCUCAACCUUAAAAUUGCAGUUGAAACUGGAGACCUUGAGUACGGUUGAGGUAGGCGGAAUUCGUGGUGUAGCGGUGAAAUGCUUAUAUAUCACGAAGAACUCC